rnacentral:rRNA from 1 species
GCCAGACUCCUACGGGAGGCAGCAGUGGGGGAUAUUGCACAAUGGGGGGAACCCUGAUGCAGCGACGCCGCGUGGGUGAAGGAGCGUUUCGGCGCGUAAAGCCCUAUCGGCAGGGAAGAAGGAGGACGGUACCUGACUAAGAAGCCCCGGCUAACUACGUGCCAGCAGCCGCGGUAAUACGUAGGGGGCAAGCGUUAUCCGGAUUUACUGGGUGUAAAGGGGGCGCAGACGGCAGCGCAAGCCAGGAGUGAAAGCCCGGGGCCCAACCCCGGGACUGCUCUUGGAACUGCGCGGCUGGAGUGCAGGAGGGGCAGGCGGAAUUCCUGGUGUAGCGGUGAAAUGCGUAGAUAUCAGGAGGAACACCGGUGGCGAAGGCGGCCUGCUGGACGGCGACUGACGUUGAGGCCCGAAAGCGUGGGGAGCAAACAGGAUUAGAUACCCGAGUAAAC